rnacentral:rRNA from 1 species
AGAGUUUGAUCCUGGCUCAGGAUGAACGCUAGCGGCAGGCCUAACACAUGCAAGUCGAACGGUAAGGACCACUUCGGUGGUUACACGAGUGGCGCACGGGUGAGUAACGCGUAUGCAACCUACCCUUAACAGGGGGAUAGCCCGAAGAAAUUCGGAUUAAUACCCCAUAAUACUAUAGAUAAGCAUUUAUUUAUAGUAAAAACUCCGGUGGUUAAGGAUGGGCAUGCGUACCAUUAGAUAGUUGGUAAGGUAACGGCUUACCAAGUCUACGAUGGUUAGGGGGCCUGAGAGGGUGGUCCCCCACACUGGUACUGAGACACGGACCAGACUCCUACGGGAGGCAGCAGUGAGGAAUAUUGCGCAAUGGACGAAAGUCUGACGCAGCCAUGCCGCGUGCAGGAUGACGGCCCUACGGGUUGUAAACUGCUUUUAUACAGGAAGAAAACUUUCAACGUGUUGAGAGUUGACGGUACUGUAGGAAUAAGCAUCGGCUAACUCCGUGCCAGCAGCCGCGGUAAUACGGAGGAUGCAAGCGUUAUCCGGAUUUAUUGGGUUUAAAGGGUGCGUAGGCGGAAUAAUAAGUCAGUGGUGAAAUCCUGCAGCUUAACUGUAGAACUGCCAUUGAUACUGUUAUUCUUGAAUAUAGUUGAGGUAGGCGGAAUGUGUUAUGUAGCGGUGAAAUGCAUAGAUAUUACACAGAACACCGAUUGCGUAGGCAGCUUACUAAGCUAUUAUUGACGCUGAGGCACGAAAGCGUGGGGAUCGAACAGGAUUAGAUACCCUGGUAGUCCACGCUGUAAACGAUGAUCACUAGCUGUUGGCGAUACACCGAUCAGCGGCAAAGCGAAAGCAUUAAGUGAUCCACCUGGGGAGUACGGUCGCAAGAUUGAAACUCAAAGGAAUUGACGGGGGCCCGCACAAGCGGAGGAACAUGUGGUUUAAUUCGAUGAUACGCGAGGAACCUUACCUGGGCUUAAAUGCAGGACGAUGAACUGGGAAACCAGUUUUUUCUUCGGAGCGGACUGCAAGGUGCUGCAUGGUUGUCGUCAGCUCGUGCCGUGAGGUGUCGGGUUAAGUCCCAUAACGAGCGCAACCCCUAUCGUUAGUUGCCAGCGGAUCAUGCCGGGGACUCUAACGAAACUGCCGGUGUAAACCGAGAGGAAGGUGGGGAUGACGUCAAAUCAGCACGGCCCUUAUGUCCAGGGCUACACACGUGUUACAAUGGUCGGUACAGAGGGUAGCUACUAUGUAAAUAGAUGCCAAUCUCGAAAACCGGUCUUAGUUCGGAUCGAAGUCUGCAACUCGACUUCGUGAAGCUGGAUUCGCCAGUAAUCGCGCAUCAGCCACGGCGCGGUGAAUACGUC